UGAAAACGCGAAACCGGAUUCUGCAUUCCUAUACUACGACUACUUCUAUUACUCCGCAGAUCAUCGUAUGGAUUUGGGUAAAUUGCAUAAGACUCUGAAUGAAACGGAUGUAGUGGUGUUAGAGAUCGUAUAUUUGAGAAACUUGCAAACUUAUUCGGGUUCGACCACUGUACCGAUCUCGGAGGACCCCCGGAUGUGAAAUGAGCUGAAAGGUUGUUCACGGGGGGCGUUCUAUCGGUUGUACGUUCCACAGAAUCAGUCAAACUAUCGUUCUGGAAGUAGCCUGGAUGUGGUGUAUUAUUAACCUCACAUAAAGUAGACAUUCUUGGAUGUCCGGUAUUACCCACACCUGUUAGAUCUACUGUCUCAUUAGAUAAGUUUCUCGCCGUAUCAAAACGUACUUGCCGUGAUUGAUGUAUGCGAGACGAUACUUGAUACCGCGGUGUCGACCACGUGGGUGGUAAAAGUCCCCAAGAUGCACACGUGACUACUGCAGCACUAGUAACUAUUGUCGUUGGUGAUGCCGAUACAGCCGUUUGCCCAACAGAGAGACUGUUUAUAUGUAUAAUUGAUUCUACAUCACUGUUGUUGCCGCGGAGUCAACACGAUUGGCAACACGGCUGAGCGAGGAAACGAACACUGACAUUUCGGACAGCAAGGAGGAAGUGACUUCGAGCAAGCAGUGAUCGUAGUCUGAUAUAAUACGAAUAUAAUUGAUUUUUGUUCAAUUAGAUGGUAAGAAAAUGUUUGACACAGUUUAUUUGCAUUAAUGCUUUAACGAGUGUAGUAACAGGGUUAUUGGAUUCUUUAUGCCACUGAUGCUCUUGCCGUCAGUUUGAUUUAAUUACACUAUUUUGUAAGUACUGGUUGAAGUAAUUAUUCGGGCAUAUUAUAAUAAAAAUGAAUUAUUCCAGUUUGAAGCGUAAAUACAUGUACAGCUAUCAAAAAUAGUGUUUCAUUCGGUUCUGUAGGAACAAACUUCAAAAAAAUAUGCAGCACGAGGAAGAAUUGAACAUAACCCCACCGUCGAGCCAAACGUUCAGCUGCGUGGCUUGUUAGCGACCGGACUCCGCAGAUAAUUUAGUGCAAUGCGAUAAAUGUAACUGCUGGUGGCAUUAUUCAUGCGCUGGCGUGACGGACUCUGUAGAGGGGCGAGAUUGGACGUGUUCAAGGUGCCUCCCCGCUCCAUCGAAGUCUAGUUCAAACAAGUCCGGAUCUAGCCGUAAAGCCCGGUUGGAGCUAAGUUUGCAACGUCUGGAGGAACAAAAGUCACUAGCAAAAAAGCAGCUAGAGCUGGACUUAGAACAACGGUUCCUUACUAAAAAAUUUCAUUCACUGGAACAAAGUAUUCUUGAAGAAGAAAGUGUCGGGAACAUGAGUGUUCGUAGUCGAAUUGAUGAGAUCGAGAAUCGAGACCGAGCAAAUCACGUUUCACAGUGGGUCGAUCAGCAGGCGAUGUCGGUUCCAAAUUCGGAACCAGCUGUUCAGUCGAACUUAGUUAUCAGAGAUGUUUGCAUCCCAACCGUUUUUGUAAACGGGCGACGAGAGGUUCAAUCGUUUCAACAGACUCAAGAAGGUGUCUCAGUGCAGUUACUCGAACGGCGGUGCUGUUCCUACCGGCGCGGUUCCUGCCACUACGGCUCCAACUGGUGCGCUCCCUGUCAGCGUUGAUCUUAUCGGCACAGUUCCUUUGAACGCAAUUCCUACCGGUAAGGUUUCAGCCGGCGUGAAUCCCGUCGGCAAAUUUCCUGUAGGCGCUGUUCCCGUGGGCGAUGCUUCUGCAGGCGCAGUUCACAACACAAUUCCUGUAGGCGCAGCUCCCACCAGCACGGUUUCUACCGGCACAACUGCUGUUGGCGCUGUUCCUGUUGGUGCAAGUGAUUUCAACCCAAUACCUACUAGCACGGUUAUUCCCGGCAUGGCUCCCGUCGGUGCUGUUCCUGUUGGCGCGAGUUAUUUCAACUCAAUUCCUGUCGGCGCGGUUCCUACCAGCACAAUUCCUACUGGUGCGGUUCCUAUUGGCAUGUUUCCCACGGGAAUGUUAUCCAAUAAUUUCCACAAUCAAUUGACACAACAGCGCAUAAGUGAAACAGUUCCAGCGCCGUUGCUCCCGCCACCAGCAGUACAAAAUGAAAAAGGUUUCAGUUUCGCACAUCCAUAUGAUCAGCUGCGGAAUUUUCCCGCGCACUCAUCGUAUGCCAUACCUACCGGUAGUAACGAAAUUCCAUUCAGGACAGUCUCGACUCGUAGGCCUUCCCCAGAGCAAAUAGCUGCUCGGCAUGUGAUGCCUAGCGAUUUGCCGGAAUUCUCAGGAGAUCCCGAAGAGUGGCCUAUCUUCAUAAGUAGUUUCAACAAUUCAACUCUGGGCGAAAAUCUUGCUCGAUUACAACGAUGUCUGAAAGGCGAAGCCUUAAAGUCAGUACGGUACUACUUGUUGAGCCCAGCAUCAGUUCCUGAUGUCAUUAGGACACUUCAGACACUCUACGGUAGACCUGAGAUCAUUAUUAAUAAGUUGAUUAGGAAUGUACGGGAUUGUCCUACUCCAAAGAGUGAACGGCUAGAGACGCUCAUCGAAUUAGGUUUAACCGUCAGAAAUCUAACGCAACAUCUCAUCUCAGCAGGCCAACAUGAUCACCUCUCCAAUCCCGUUCUCCUGCAAGAGCUCGUUGAAAAGCUGCCGGCGAAUGUUAAUGGGCUCAGCAUUUGGCACAUCAUUCCGUACCCACGCUAAAAUUAUUUAGCGAUUUCAUGUCGUCAGUGAUAGAAUCCGUUAGCAAAGUGGUAUUGUUUGUAGGAAAUCGUGGUAAACCGGAGAAGAGUGGACCUGGGAAAAAAGGUUUCCUGCAUGCUCACAGUGAAAAUACGGUAUCACCGAAGAAGGAUGUGUAACGAGCAGAUUAUCCAAGAAAAUGCUUAGUUUGUGAAAGAGGAGACCAUCGCGUCAGAGACUGUGCAAAAUUAAAAGAGAGUAGUGUUGCCGAUCGAUGGAAAGCCAUCCAUUCUUUGAAAUUGUGUAGAACCUGUCUGAAUACACAUGGCCGUCGAACAUGUCGUAGUUCUGAACGAUGCGGUAUAAACGGGUGUCAGUUCCGGCACCAUCCACUGUUCCAUGCAGAAAUACAGAAUAAAUCUACAUCUCCGUCUCUUGAGAAUCAUGCCUUUCAUCAUUGUGGACAAUCGAUAUUAUUCCGGAUUGUUCCUAUCAUCAUUCACGGCAAAACAAAAUCCGUGAAUACUUUCGCUUUUCUCGACGACGACAACGCUCGUUGAAAGAAGUUUAACCGAACAGAUAGGCAUCGAAGGACCGAACGUUCCUUUGUGCUUGAAGUGGACUGGUGAUAUGACCCGUUCGGAAGACGAAUCCCAGCUGGUCACAUUAGAAGUUUCACAGCGUGGCGGACGUAGGCGAUAUCCUCUGAGAAAUGCCCGGACGAUAAGUUGUCUCAAUCUUCUAUCCCAAACCGUACGUUUCGAUGAACUACAACGUGAAUACGGGCACCUCAAGGGUUUAGAAAUUCGCAGUUAUGAGAAUGCCAAGCCACAAUUGUUGAUUGGUCCCCGAGAUUUGUCGCUGGCUGUACCGCUGAAAGUUAAAGAAGGUGAUGAUGGACCCAUAGCAGUAAAAUCUCGGUUAGGCUGGUCCGUGUAUGGUAGCCUCUCCGGCACAAGAAAAUUCGUAAAUUUUCACAACUUCCACGCUUGCGAUUGUGAGAGUCUUAACGAAAUGGUGCGGGAAUACAUUGCGACAGAGGACUGUGGUGUAAGUUCAAAAAUACUUUUGGAAUCCGAUAGCGAUAAGCGUGCCAACAUGUUGCUCGAGCAAACGACCGUUCGAAUCGGUAACCGGUUCACGACUGGGUUGCUAUGGAGACACGAUUACGUAGAGCUACCGGACAGUUAUAGGAUGGCAAUUCGACGACUGGAAUGUUUGGAACGUCGUAUGCACCGUAAUGAAAACGUUAAAGGAAAAUAUCGUCAAAUCGCUGAGUACCAACAAAAAGGUUACGCUCAUUGUGCUUCGACUGAAGAGUUGGAAUCCGCGGAUCCAAGGCGUAUCUGGUACCUUCCUCUCGGCGCGGUUACUAACCCCAACAAACCGGGAAAAGUAAGGUUAAUAUGGGACGCGGCGGCUAGAGUAAACGGUAUUUCUUUAAACUCCGUCCUUCCAUCGGGACCCGGGAUCUUUUGACACCCCUGCCGUCAGUCUUGUUUCUAUUUCGGCAAUAUUCGGUGGCGAUCUCUAGUGACAUCAAGGAGAUGUUUCAUUAGCUUCGGAUUAAUGAUCGCGACCAGCACUCCCAACGUUUCUUAUGGCGCGAAAGCUCAGAUAAAGAGCCAAAAGUAUUUCUGAUGGAUGUCGUCACCUUCGGGGCUACUUGCUCGCCGACAUCUGCGCAAUUUGUCAAAAACAAAAACGCGUUUGAGUUCACUGAUAAAUUCCCACGAGCAGUACAAGGUAUCAUUAAAAACCACUACGUGGAUGAUUACCCUGACCUUUGAAACGGUCGAUGAGGCAAAAUCUGUCGCUGAAGCAGUGCGACUGAUCCAUUCAAAAGGAGGGUUUACCAUCCACAAUUGGAUCUCUAAUAGCAAAUCUGUACUAGGCCACCUCGGUGAGGUUUCGAACGCAGAUAUUAAACACCUGACAUCGGGAAAAGGCCACAUUGCUGAACGUGUUCUGGGUAUGCUGUGGCUUCCAGAGAGUGAUGAACUUGGCUUUGCUACUUCGUUCACUGAACGUGUUACCGUACCGCAAUGAAAAUGGGAAAUAGGCCGACAAAAAGGAUGGUGUUGAAAACAGUAAUAAGCUUUUUGAUCCUUUGGGAUUGCUGGCUACCUUUUUGGUCCACGGGAAAAUUCUUUUACAAGAUAUAUGGCGCACUGGAAUAAAAUGGGACGAUUCGGUCAACGAUAAACAUUUCUAACGCUGGUUACGUUGGAUAGAUUUAAUCAAACAAGUGAGUAACUUCAGAAUUUCUCGAUGCUUCCUUUCACGACGCCAGUGCAAUGCUGUACGACUCGUUGCAAGCACACGUGUUCGUGGAUGCGAGUGAAGCUGCAUACUCAGCUGCACUAUACUUUCGGAUCAGACGUUCAGAUGGAAGCUUUCAAUGCAGUUUGUGGCUGCGAAAACCAAGGUCGCUCCGCUAAAACACGUUACAAUCCCACGGUUAGAAUCAAUGACUGCCUUGUUGGGUGCACGCUUGCUGUUAUUUGUCAUCGAAAACCAUACAAUUUCGGUUCGCAAACGGUUUUUAUGGACCGAUUCUGCUACGGUAUUAUCGUGGAUAUGCUCCGAUCAUCGCACCUAUCGACAGUUCGUAGCCUGCCGCGUAGGAGAGAUUUCAUCAGUUACUAACGAGUGCGAAUGGAGAUGGGUGCCGAUUAAAUUCAACGUCGCUGAUGAAGCUACUAAGGGACCCUGCUUCGACGCGGGUUGUCGUUGGUACGUAGGACCUGACUUUCUAUGUUUGCCCGAAGAUGACUGGCCAAAACAACCUACAACAGUCGCUACAAAAGAAGAAAUUCGUCCGUGUUUUAUCCAUCAAGAGACUCUGCCAACAACGUUAAUUCAUUUCGACCGCUUCUCAAGCUGGAAUCGUCUUUCGAGAUCGUUAGCCUAUUUGGUGAGAGCAAUUACCUUUUGGAAGCGGAAGAAAAUUGGAGUCGCUGGCACAAGACGGUUAGCGCUGAGUCAAGAGGAGAUACGAGAAGGGGAAACAUUGAUUUGGAAACUAGUUCAAAGAGAAGUAUACACCGAUGAACUGGUACUUCUAUCGAGAAACGAACUUCUUCCUGAAAAGGAACGAAUGGGACUCCUGCGAUCAAGCAACCUGUACACGCUGUCACCGAAAUUGGGACAAGAUGGCCUAAUACGCUUGGAUGGGCGUAUAGGAGCAACUGAAUUAGCAUCUUCGAAUGUAAAAUACCCUGUCAUACUUCCUACGUCACACCGUGUAACGAACCUCUUAGUUGACCACUAUCAUCGUAAGUUCUUACAUGGAAACUCGGAAAUUGUAUUCAAUUAUUAUUAUGUGCCAAGACUUCGCGUUCUAAUCAGAAAAAUCGCGAGACAAUGUAAGUGUUGCAAGGUACAGAAAACACGACCGGCUCUGCCAAGGAUGGCACGUUUGUCGCCUUAUGUACGGCCGUUUAGUUUCGUGGGUCUGGACUAUUUCGGGCCUAUGUUGGUGAGAGUCGGAAGAUCGAAUGCGAAAAGGUGGAUCGCGUUGUUCACCUGUCUUACGAUACGAGCGGUACAUGUAGAGGUAGCUCAUGAGUUGUCUACACAGUACUGUAUCUCGUGCAUACGUCGGUUCGUGUGUCGCCGGGGACCAUUCCAUAGAAAUUUAUUCCGACAAUGGGCAAAAUUUCGUGGGAGCCAAUCGUCUUCUUAAAGAACAGAUUCAACAAAUCGAAAUUUCGACUUCCGAAACUUUUACUAACGCUCAAACUAAGUGGGUUUUCAUACCCCCUUCUGCGCCAUACUGGGGAGGCUCCUGGGAGCGAAUGGUGAAAUCUGUGAAAGCUGCUCUAAUUAACCUUCCUCAAGACCGUAAACUUGACGAUGAAUCCUUGCAAACGAUGCUCGUGGAGGCAAAAUAUAUAGUCAACAGUCGUCCUUAAACCUACUUACCUCUCGAUUCGGCGGAACAUGAUGCAUUGACCCCUAACCAUUUCCUCCUCGGCAGUUCGAAUGGCCUUAAGCAACCAGUUUCUACGACCACAGACAAAUACUCCAUUCGAAACUCUUGGGAUUUGAUUCAAAGAAAUCUGGAUUGUUUUUGGGCCCGCUGGAUACGUGAAUAUCUUCCGACGCUAACAAAACGUACGAAAUGGUUUGAUGAGGUUCGGCCCGUUUAACCAGGUGAUUUGGUGGUGAUUAUUGAUGAGGCGCGUAGAAAUAGUUGGAUUCGUAGGCGUGUACUGGAAGCGAUUGCUAGUUCAGAUGGUCGAGUCCGUCAGGUACUAGUUCAAACGUCUUCGGGAAUAUUCCGUCGGCCAGUGUCGAAGCUCGCCGUGUUAGACGUUGGCGAAGUUGGUAAAGAUGAGUCAUCCACCCAUCCUUACGGGGGGGGGUAUGUUGCCGCGGAGUCAACACGAUUGGCAACACGGCUGAGCGCGGAAAAGAACACUGACAUUUCGGACAGCAAGGAGGAAGUGACUUCGAGCAAGCAGUGAUCGUAGUCUGAUAUAAUACGAAUAUAAUUGAUUUUUGUACAAUUAGAUGGGUUAUUGGAUUCUUUAUGCCACUGAUGCUCUUUCCGUCAGUUUGAUUUAAUUACACUAUUUUGUAAGUACUGGUUGAAGUAAUUAUUCUGGCAUAUUAUAAUUAAAAUGAAUUAUUUUAGUUUGAAGCGUAAAUACAUGUACAGCUAUCAAAAAUAGUGUUUCAUUCGGUUCCGUAGGAACAACUGUAUAACGAUUGAGCAAUCGAACUUAAAUGUGUUGAUCAUGUGUCAUCAAUCACUGAAACUGUUUGUGGAAAUUCUACUACGCCGCCUGAGGCGCCCCGCAAAUCAGCUGUUUAUGAAAUUAAAUCUCCAGUGUUGGUGGCUGUGUAUGUAUGGGUUCCCACACCAGUUACCCCAACAACGCUGGAAACGGAACAUACACCAGGAGGAAGGGAGGGAAGAAUAUUGUCGUUCACCUCGAAGUGUCUCAAAUAAAUCUGUACUACCUGUGUAAAAAUCCAAUUCGCAUCAUUGGCCCACUCACUUGUUCCAAAGGUUUUCUUAAAUAAUUUUAGUCGAUUAUACAAAUGCAACAAGCCUGUCUUUGACAUAUCUUUAACUAAUUUUUUGGAAUUUAUUUCAUUGCAAACUCGUUCUAGACGAUUACGGCAUAGCAAUAAUUCGUUUCUCGGGUCACGCUUGUAUGCGUAUAUUCUGUUUAAACCUUCCACCUCUUCGCGUAAUGCAUUUUUCAAUUUUCUGCGAUUAACACUUACGCCACGUUCUUUAUCCUUAAGUAAAUUCCUAAUUUCGAGCUCAAAAAAUAGUUCUUCCUCUGUUAGAAAUGUUAACGACAUAUACUCCAAGUAAGCUCUAUCUAAAUUCAUUUUGUUUUUCUAAAUUUUACUUUAUUCUUCCUCAACAAAUUAUCUCCUGAGUGAUACGCCGCUCCCGAAGUGCUUGCCUAUAGUAUCUACCGAAUAACUCAACUGCUAUUAGAUCGAACGAUCGGUACGAUUGUCGCACACACUGAAAUCAACUUCUUUCUGGCUGUCUCCUGUGUGUGAUCAUUCACACCAGAUUAAAAGCCUACUGUAAGUGAUUGUGAUUUUUUUUAUCAAGGUCACUCUCACCGAACAAAUAGCACCAAAAUCUAAUUGAAUUGAUAAGAACAGGACAGGCUUACAACCAUUUAGAGUUGAUUUUUUUAUCUUAUUUUUUUUCAAACACCCUGAAUACUCCCCUCAGUCCAAUGGACAAAAAUUAACUCUGAUAAAAACAAUAGGUAAUUAUUUCCGAUGGUUCGCCAAAUGUAAGUUAGGUUUUGAUCUAACUUAGCUUAGAGCAUGCGACUUACCGGAUCUCAUCUCAGGGGCUGCCUACACUUAUGAUUUUUUUCCUUUUCCCGGACGCGGGGUUACCAGUUCGAAGGGUGUGAUCAAUUCUAUCCACGUUUGACUGGUUUCGCGAAUUCACUUUCGCGGUUCCCAACGGUAUUUCACUUAGGCCUUCUGUGCGUCUUCCAAAUUUUGGGACAACUUAUUCACGUCACCCCGAGUGCCACUUAUUAUGUCUCGAUUGGAGUUUUAGGCGAUUCCACGUGCCAACGAAUGGCGCCCUGUACACUAUCCCAACACUGUACACUUUAUAUUUUCCCCUGGCGUUUGUUUAACGAAUAAAACUCUCGGAGGUACAAGCCUUGAAAACCGAUUCCAGGCCGUCUCUAACGUCCUUUACCAAGAUCACGCUCACUGUUCUCAGGACUUCGUUCGGUAUCGACGCCGUUCUUUUUUCACACCGCGAAUUUAUCAUCGACCUUUCCGCUUCACGACUCAGAACCAAGAGAGCCCUCCUAUCCGGCCUCGAUCAGUUCCUCAAGAACUGACCGUUUUUGUUUUUAUCGUGCGUAUUGGAACUUCCUUCGCUACCAAGUACGAAUGCGAUCUUCUUUUUUGGUAACCCUCGGUGCGCCGAUCGGGAAAUUUAAUUUGAAUUUAUAUAAACCAAUAAUCUAACUCCUACAUGCAAAAUAAUGUUAACAAUAUUUUUGGUAGAUUAAUUUAUAACAAUAAUUUUAUUAUUUAUGUGACAUGGUAUCAGGUUACAUUGUACAGACACCAAACAAAAACUAAUCGUACGAUAUGCGUCAAAAUUUGACAGACUGUUUAUAAAAAUGUAGCCAACGUUGAGAGAAUAGAAGUUUACCGAUUGGACAAGCGCGGGAAUUUUAAAAUGAAAAUUACGGUUCUUGUUUGAUUAUAUUAAGGUACAAUUGGUCAAUUGGUUUCUCGUCAAAAACAUUUACAGUUAAUUAAAGGGCAACUGUAAUUUUAUGU